rnacentral:lncRNA from 1 species
UUGAUUUCCAAAUUCCGACGAGUUUAGAUGGUAGCGGACGGCAGCGAUCGGCGAAGACCACCUCAAAAGACAACGGAAUAUUCCGUCACGUUAACAGAAUAUUCGGUCAAAGUUGACGGAAUAUUCUAACGACCUCAGGUAAUUCCGUUGAACUCUAUUAGUUAUUUAAAAGAAUAUUUCGUCAAACUACUAAAAUAUUCCUGAUGCAAGUCACGGCCUUGCCUGCGCAUGGUGGCGUGUAUGGCUAUGCCUUAGCCGAUUCGUGGCGACGCGUCAGACCUCCAAUUAACCUUUUGUCGAUUUGUGUAGGUCCGUGACGUCGAGUAGGUUGAUUUCGUAUAUUCAAACCCUAUGUUUGAGCAAUCUAUGGAGGUUUUAUUUAAGUUUCUGUUUAUGUGUUAUUAAACUAAGUUAAUUAGUAAUUUCAUAUAUAGGGGAAACAUAUCCCGAUGGCAUACGGGGUAAAGCAAGGAUCGGAGGCUUUGUUUCGACUGCGUAACUAUGAGUGGGUCAUUUCCUUUUAUAGUAUAUGCAUACUUGCUAGUUUCCAAUUAUACUUUUGCCUAGCUUAGACUAAAGUUACAUGAAGUAGCGAAAUGACGAAAUUUAGGAAAUUAUUCUUAAUCCUAUAAGUUCACAGGUAUGCAUGAGAUACCAUGAUUAUAUUUUACAGCAAUGAUUAAUUAAUGUUAGAAGAAUUGUUGUGCUGUUGUGAAAUGCUAAAAUAAUCCUACAUGAUGCGCAGGUAAGUUACUUUGUUGACUAGAAUUAUUUAAUUGUUAUGGCAUGAUUAUAUUUAUGUUAUUUGCUCAUCAUUGCUGCACCCUGGUGUUAGUACUCACCGUAGGGCCAAGGCCAGUCCUUCAUGUGUAUGUUCACAUUCGCAUAGUUCGCUCGCCUUGGAUCCAAGUAGGUGCCAGUCCUAUCGUACAGAUUGCACUAGGCAAUUCCAACUCGUAUGUGGCCGCGCUUCGGUGCCUGCCUUCACCUGAUCGUAGUACUAGAGUGCAUUAAUUACACCUAAUCCUAUUCAUUUUAGAAAUUAUAUGUAUGAAGUCGUGUGUCAGCAUAGGUUGAUGAGCAUUCGUCAUGAUGUGUUUACUGUUUUGAGAUUAUGUGAUUGCGGUCACCUUAUGCUUACCUUGAUAGCUGUACUUUAUUGAUUUUCUUGAGCCUUUGUAGGCUAUGGUAAUUAUUUUCUUAUUAUAUAUAGUACGUAUAUUUUGGAAACUAUACUUGAUUUUAUAGCAAGGGGUUAUAAUGUUUUUGAAAAGGUUUUUACAAAACGUUAUUUUCUGACCCACUCAACUUUGUUUUUCGCCCUUCCAGGUUUAGUAGUUGUGCUUACGUGUAAACGAGGAUUCUAGCAAAUCUUAGGAGAUGGUUAUCUUCAGUCGUAUACUAUUUAGUAUGCUAUCAUAUACUCUGACAUCACGUGUGAAAUGGGUUCAAUCCC